CUCCCACAACAUGUGGGAUUUCUGGGAUACAAUUCAAGUUGAGAUUUGGUGGGGAUGCAGUCAAACCACAUCAGCUCCCAUUUUGCAAGUGAGGAAAUCAAGACUCAGAGGGGUGAGGUUGCUUGCUUGGGAUUGCACGGAUCAGUCGGUGGUAGAGUUACGAUCCAAAUCCAGGCUUUAGUUGCCUGCUUCCAGUUCUUUCCACGUGGCUCUAGGAACCAGCAUUAACAGCCUGAGGCCGUGGAGCAUGGUAGGGACUCAGGAGCCAGACUGCCAUCUGCAAAAUCCGUCUCUGUGUGAAGAAUCAGAAAGUAAACCAAAACCAAGACCCAUCCACAUGGCCGUGAACCACCCCCAAGCCACCAAUGGCAGCCCUGACGCAUACCUUGCUUGAUGACGGGUGGCUUGCGGGCGUCGUCCACCACGAACGAG
rnacentral:lncRNA from 1 species